UAAUGGUAUAUAUGCUGUUCAAAGACAGCAGGUGCGUAAUGCGUAAAAGGAAAUAUCCUGCCUGCCGAGGACAAGCUGCUUAGACAUAUUUUGUCAUAGUGUGCCUUUUCCUCGUGUGGGAAAAGGCACUUUUUAAUGCAUUGC
rfam:Clostridium sp. CAG:964 genomic scaffold, scf208